AUUCAUGAUGUGUGUUCUAGGAAUGUUAAAGAAAUCUACAUUAAGGUCUCUAACUAAAAUUAUUUUACUGGAAAUAUCAGAAGCUCUUUCUAUAGACCACAUAAGAUUAUUCCAAAAGGAUUUGUUUCUAUUUGGUGGACGGUAUACACAGCACAGAAAAAAAUUACAAAAAACACAGAGGGAGAAUUAGAUGCAAAACUAAAGAGGAAAUUUGGACUUGGUUCGUCUUCUCUCAUUAUUGCCUAAAACCUUCGGGGAUUCUGCCCAAAUGGAGCUUACCAAGGGAAAUCCUCCCAGUGUAUUUGUAAAUGUCUUAUAACUUGAGCUUGU